AAACCGUUCAGGGGUAAACCUGAGGAACCCGAAAGAUCGAAUGGGAAGAUUCAGCGUCAGCGGCGCUUGCUCGGCGGGAUCGUGCGUCUUCUCGGACCGGAUUCUUCGGUCAUGGGUCGACGCAAUCUUUCCAUGCCUUGUUUAGGCGUCGUCGUCGUGCACUUCUCCCCUAGUAGAACGUCGCGACCCGUUGGGUGCCGGUCUACGGUCCGAGCGGGUUAGACUGUCGCGUCGCUUAGGCGCACGCGGCAGACCCUCGGUCAAACCCGGCCGGCUGCCCGGCGGUCGAACAUAUAAGGUAUCUUGCCGCAAUUGAUCGAAAUGCGUCGCGGCCCGUCGCAAGCUAGGCCAGUGUCUAUAGCGCGGAGUUACGGACCCGGUGCCGUACCCGCGGCUGGCCGGCUGUUGGCAGACGGAGUCCUUCGACGGGCAAUACACAGAACGAUACCGGUCUGCGACGCUACUGCUUUGGGUACUCUCAGGACCCGUCUUGAAACACGGACCAAGGAGUCUAACAUGUGCGCGAGUCAUUGGGACUGCGAAGCCUAAAGGCGCAAUGAAAGUGAAGGUCGCACCCAACUUAAGGUCGACCGAGGGAGGAUGGGCCGCGUUUCCGCGCGGCUCCGCACUCCCGGGGCGUCUCGUUCUCAUUGCGAGAAGAGGCGCACCCAGAGCGUACACGUUGGGACCCGAAAGAUGGUGAACUAUGCCUGGUCAGGACGAAGUCAGGGGAAACCCUGAUGGAGGUCCGUAGCGAUUCUGACGUGCAAAUCGAUCGUCGGAACUGGGUAUAGGGGCGAAAGACUAAUCGA
rnacentral:rRNA from 1 species